AGGACGAACGCUGGCGGCGUGCCUCAUACAUGCAAGUGGAGCGACGAACCAGGAUUUAUCCUGGGGCAAAGCCGCGAACGGGUGAGUAACACGUGGGUUACCUGCCCCGAUGAUUGGGACAACCCGAGGAAACUCGGGCUAAUACCAAAUGUGUUCUUGGUCGUGAUGACCAAGAAGAAAGGAAGCCUCGGCCUCCGCAUCGGGAUGGGCCCGCGGCCCAUUAGCUAGUUGGUGGGGUAAUGGCCUACCAAGGCGACGAUGGGUAGCUGGUCUGAGAGGACGAUCAGCCACAUUGGGACUGAGACACGGCCCAAACUCCUACGGGAGGCAGCAGUGGGGAAUAUUGGACAAUGGGCGCAAGCCUGAUCCAGCAAUGCCGCGUGGGUGAAGAAGGUCUUCGGAUUGUAAAGCCCUUUCGACGGGGACGAUGAUGACGGUACCCGUAGAAGAAGCCCGGCUAACUUCGUGCCAGCAGCC
rnacentral:rRNA from 1 species